ensembl:rRNA 5S_rRNA 5S ribosomal RNA
GGAAGAUAUCUCCCUGAGUGCAUCAGAUCUCCGCUGAUCUCUCAGAAGCUAAGCAGGAUUGGGCCUGGUUAGUGCCUGGAUGGGAAACCUCAGAAGGACCUGAAAGCUCCCA